UGAACUUAAUAGAGACGUUUGACCAAAACAGAAAUGCGUAUCUUACCCGUGGGCAUAGGCAAACAGGAUCUGACGUGCAAAUGCUGGCAUUGAAAUAGUCUCUGCAGUUAUCCAGCUAGCUAGCAGAUCCAUUAUAUAUUAUACAUGCAUAUUCAGGACCAAAAUAAGAAGGUAGGGAAUCGAACCAAAAAGUUGGUUCCCUUCCUUUUUAGCAGCUGGUAGUCUCUGUCAGGAACAAGCAAACGAGCCCAAAAGAACUAAUCGUUCUCUUUCCCUUCAUUGCUUGUUCUUCCUUUUGUUCCAUGGUAGAUGAAGCUCGAUAGGCACGCACCUCCAGCUAUUUUCUGAUUACGCAUAUAUGCGUACAGUUUUCAUCGGAGGUGAAAGUUUAGCUCUCAUCCUGUUUUAUCCCGUGGGAACUCAUAGCGUUUUCAUCGGAGAGAGGUGCGAUUGGGCAAAAUUAUGUGAUUCUUUAAGCUUAGGCCUUUAAUUUCUUCUCUAAUUCCUCAGUUGGGUGUUAAUUCCUAAUGGGCAAAUUAUUUGUUCCGCUUUUGUCCUUCUAUAUUGAACUCACCUUAUUUUUAUUCCAUGUGUAUCCUUUAUCGAUUUGAAUUACACUUCUUUUUUAUUCUAAAAUUUUAUGCUUAUAAAUUUCUUAGUAAUAAAAUUUAAACCAUUAUGAAGAUCACAACGAGAUCUUUUAUUUGAGUCUAAUAUUAAAUAUAUUUAGACUAAAUUAUCUUAAUACAUAAUAAUGAAUUAUACUCCUUUUUUCAAUUAUGCCUUAUGGCUUUUGGCUUACCGUGGGAAACUUUUGCUAUGCUGUUCAAAGGUUCCAUGAAAAAGAAUUCAUAUAGCAAGCCAAUUAUAGCUUACCGUGGCCGAUGCUUAACAACCACACACACACACAAAAAAAAAAAAAAAAAAACUGAACUCUUGUAAUUAACAAUACUAUCAUGAGGCAUGCGUAUGCAAAAAUAAUACUUAGAAUAUCUAGCAUUUGCGCACCACUUUAACUAAAAAAAUGAAAUUAUCUUAAUAUAUCAAGGCCUUUCCACUAAAGGACUUUUUUUUUUUGGCCAAUUUGAGGGACAACAAGAACAGCUGUCGGGGAUCUCUUUUAAUGAUCUUGGACGACUGAGAUUAAAUCAAAGUGGUCACAGCUUUUCUAUCAUGCCUAUCUACGCACAUGAUUCCUACUAAGUCCACUUUUAGCCUCCACUCUCCACGAUGACUCCUAUCCAAAACGUUUCAAUUUUUCUAUCCAAAACUAUAAUCAGCUAUGAAACCAUCAUCACCAGAACCAAUUCAAGCUCGUCAGAUUUUCUCAACGUUCGUUGUUUCCACCACUAAUCCUCUCCACCCCAAACUCAUCUCUCCUCCUCUUUUCUCCAACCUCAAAGAACAAACCCAAAACUUUGUUUUCAUUUCCUUCACUUUCCAACCGCAAAAAAUUGCAACUGGAGGCUUCUUCAGUUUGACGGGAUAUUAUUAGAGGUUUUUUUGGAGAAAUUCGUGUAUUAUAUGUUUGUGUUAGGAAAACAAUUGAAACUCAGAUCUGAUCUGAACAUGCUGCAGUGGUUAAAAUUUUCCUCAAUUGAUUUCUGAUAAAUUUGAGAAAACUAUACCUCCGAACUUCAUCUUUUUGACUUCUUCCUUGAUGGAUUUGAAGAUUAUAUCUGCAAGUUUCAUUUUUUUAUAUCAAAAACCAAACCGAAAUUGUAACCGAUGUCGAUGUCGAUUAACUGAUAUAUCAGUGUUGAAAUCUGGCCGGUUUCGAUGCCGGAAAUCUGAAAAAAUCGACUGGUCGGUUCGUUGGUGGUUUAGUCUCUUUUAGUAAAAUUGGGAAUUCUGGGUUUAUAGGUGUUAAAGAGGGUUGAAUUCUUUGAUUUAAUCUCAGCCGUCCAAAAUCAUUAAAAGAGAUCCAACGGCUGUCCUUAUUGUCCCUCAAAUUGGCAAAAAAAAAAAGAAUCCCUUACUCCCUUAGUGAAACAACCUCUCUCUCUCUCUCUCUCUCUACACACACACACUCAUAAAGAAUAGAACUCAUAAAGAAUAGAAAUUAUAACAUAAAAAACUACACAAACUACUUUGUACAAGAUAGAAAUAGAGUAACCUAACAAUUCUUAAUCAUAACACCCCCACACAUACAAAAAAAAAAAACUCUCUUCUAAUUAACAAUACUAUCAUGAAGCAUGCAUAUGCAAAAAUAAUACUUAGAAUAUCUAGUUUUUUCGCACCACUUUAACUAAAAAAUGAAAUUCUCUUUACCUCGUAAAAAUAAUAGAAACUAUAAAAUAAUAAUAAAAAAAAACUAUACAAACUUCUUUGUACAAGAUAGAAUUAGAGUGACCUAACAAAAAGCGCCCCCCCCCCC